UCUAUGUCUGUAUUUUCUUUUAGCUUGGUAGCUUGAUUUUUUUUCUUAAAGACUGCUUCUGUUGUUAAUUUGUUUCUUGCAUUUUUUAUUUCAUAUCUUGAAUUGAGGUUGCAAGCUUUUUACAUUCUAUAAUUAUUAGAAUAACUGAAGUAACUUCUUGGUAGUAGUUCUUAAGUUGAAUUUCUCGAUGUGGAAGCAUAAUUGAGAUGUUCUAACUACUCUUAGAAAUCGCAAGUUGCUUAAUAUUUUGUCCUUAAUGUAUUAUUCAAUAAUGAAUGAGGAAAAACAGAAAAUAUUGGAGUUCAAAUUUGAGGAAACAUAUACAGUUAUUUAACUUGAAUAUUGAAGUACUAAAAAGAGGCAGCCCGGUGCGCUAAGCUCCAGCUAUGCGCGGAGUUCGGGGAGGGCCGGACCACAAGGAUCUAUUGUAAGCAGUCCUAACCAGCAUUUCUGCGGUUGUUUCCACGGUUUGAACCAGUAACCUCCUGGUUACAUAGUAUCAACUUUACUGAAUAUUAAAGUACUAAACUAAUAAAUUAUGUGAUAAGAAAUGUUUGAGAAUUUUACACUUUGUCUGUAUUGAGUUAGCCAUUAGUUGACGAGUUGCAGAUCUUGAGUCCGAAAAAUCUAGAUUUUUUAUGCUAUGUGAGCUUCGAGCCAUAUACUCAUUAUGGAUAAGGAUUGUAGAUCUCAAUUGAAUUGUAACUUCAACUGGUGUCAGUAAAAUAAGAGAUGCAGAAUUGAAGUGAUAACUGAUAACAAAUGUUGAAGAAGAAUUCUGCAGGAACUUUAGUUAAGUUUAUAUACAUCAAUGUUCUCUGGAAACUCAUUUGUUACACUUAGGUAUAAAUUUGAUAUGCUACUGAUAAUGGUGAUUUGUAGAUUGUCUCGACGCUGCAAACUUGAGUUUGUCACUUUGAAUCAUUAAUGGAGUUUGGAAACAUGAAUCUGUUUGAGCUUUUAUUGUAACCGAAUGAAAAAAAAAAGUUCUCCGGGAUCAAACUAUUACUAUCUAAAUCAUGAAAUGUGUUUUAAUCCUAUUUUUUGAGUACCUGACUGUCUUUAUGACUUGACCAUCCCAUUCUACUGAGAUCGAUGCUUUCAUUACAAUUGCAUUCCGAUGAAAGUUUAUUUAAAUCAUUUUGAAUAAUGUUCAGCUUUUAAUGCAUCCAGGUAGUAAAUUUCAAUGGUAUUGGCUUAGUUGAGUUCGUCGGGCCUCGGUGUGGGCGCUGACAAGCUUGGGCACCCACAUAAGGAAAGACAACUACAAUCCUGAAAUGUCUUGCUACUAUAGCAGCUCAUGAGUCCCUUGGACAGGUAACUUGAAAUCUCCUGACGAGGUACUUUGAAAGAGAAUGAAUUUAUGUGAGAGAGGUAAAA